GGGUUUCCAACAUUCAGCGUCUUCUCCAAGCUUCCUCUCUCAAUCUUCUCCAAGCUUCCUCUCUCAAUCUCAAACGUCUGAUAAGGUAAAUCGAAUAUGUUCUUUAUAGAUCCAACAUAAAUUUUGCAAUAUAUAUUACUUUUUUUGUGUUUUGAUUUCUCAGUUGUUCCAUAUUAUUACUCAAUCUAGAUCUUCCCAUGUUAUUCAUCUUCAUUUUAUAUCAAUCAGUUAUAGAUCCAAAUGAAUCAAGUUUUUGAUAUUAAAGGAAGAAAUUUUUAGGGUUUCACAUCUCAUUCUCAAUCGGCUGACAGCAAGGUAAUCUUAGGGUUUCACAUCUCAUUCUCAUCAGGUACGAUCCAGAUUUGUUUGUUCUUUAACAUAUAUUGUUGAUUUUUUGUUUAAAAUUUUCCCGUUUUUUGAUUGUUGUUCUAUUCUCUAAUUUCAUCAUUAAUCCCUCUUUAGUUGGUGUUGUUGGAGUGGUUUAUAUGGUAUGAAUUGUGUGUCUGAAUAUAAAAGAGAAAAUCCUAAUUUAGUAUUCUUAGUAUGUAGAUUCCUUUCAUUUUAUUUACUUUAACAGAUGAUUUGAAUGCUUAUUUAACCUUACUUGAAUGGCCGAUCAUCAUUUUUUUCCAUUUUAUUAGCUGUAGUUGAUGACAUUGAAUGCUUAUGUAACCCAAAUUGAUUCUCCGAUUUCUAAACAAUUUCUUUUGUCUAAUUUUUACAGGGAAGCAGGUUAUGUGCUUGAAGAUAUGCCUCACUUAACUGAUCCACUCAGGCAAGCUUUUUAUUGAGCUGAAAACUAAGAGCUAUGUAUGGGAAGAUGGAUGAUAUUAUCGACGUGAUGAAGAAGGAAAUGGUUGAUUUGGUAAAUAACUGUAACCUAUAUCUAUGUUUUGACGAAGAACACGAGCACAAAUUUAAAAAUAUGUAAUGUCGAUUCAACAAAUGUUGUCGCCAAAAUUGAUGCAUCUAAAGUCACUGCAAAGGUAUAAGCGGAAGAGGUAAUUGCUUCCAUAAGUUUGUCUAUGAUCGAGGUAUACAUUGAAUGUGUUUUCCUUUGAUAUCUUCUUCGCUGCAUGUGCUCGGCGCUCUUUGUUCGCGGUCUCCUCCAAUCAGUUGCAAAGUGUUCGUGGAAAGCAAUGGUCUAGAAUAAAAGCUUAUGAAAGCAAGCCCAUGUCAAGUCAUUUUCUACUCUGGAAAGAACAGUGUAGGAAGAAGAUCUUCAGAUAUAAAAAGGUGCGAUGUAAACAUCGGUUAGAGCUUGAUCAGAAGAAUAAGAAAAGCACUUGAUAAGAAGCUUGAAUUUCAUCUAGGGCAAACGGAAAGUUGCGUGAGCGAUUACCCAGUCCAAUGAGAGGAUCUGCCAUCACUUGUGACAUAUGGAUUACAACCUGUGUUUAUGAACUAGAAGGAAAGGAUAUAAGUUUUCAUGUUCUUGAGUUGCAAAGAAACAAAUAUGACCCAUUACCCUGUUCGAUUUGCAAGAACCAUGGUGUGCGGUGUGCCAAUGGAGCUCCUCGAGUCACUUAAAGCUGCAACUCACAAGUAUUUUUCUCAAACGGGUGAAAAAAGGUUGUGUAUCUCAAAGGGACAGCUUAAGUUGGUGGAUAUCAUUGAAAGCCAUAUGUAUGUUCUUCUGAAUCUGUUGGCAAUCAGUGAAGAGAAACUAAGCCACACUUGGCCUGACCCGAGUUAUGUGUGGUACUUCUAGACAUGUUUUAGAGCAUGUUGCACUCAAAGAUUCAACAAGGGAAAAGUUUUGAAGUAUAAAGAUGAGUUAUAGUGAAGACCAUUAUUUAAUUCUGACGUGGGAGUACUCGAACCACAAUACAUAUUUUAUAAUGAUGAUGAAAAAGUGUUAAGCGUAAUUUAGUUAUUCACUGCUUUUAGAAUAGUUAUAAUGUUUAUAUAUUUGACUU